rnacentral:lncRNA from 1 species
AUAGAGAAAGAGAACCACUCAGGAGAAGACAGGCUUUUCUUUUCCUUGGGCCUCAGGACUUGGAGCAUUCAGGACUAUCCCCCAGUUGGGAUGCAUUCCAGCCAGACUGCAGGACUCGGGUGGAAAAAAAAAAUCAGCUCUUACUUCUUUCCUGACUAAGGGAGAGAGGAUCACACUCCAAGCAAAACGAAGCCGAGACCAAGAACAAAUGACUGGAAAGUCCUGACCUUGUCCGUGUCUCCUGAAUCAGCCAUGCCUGAAGUCUGCUCCAAGAUCAUCUAACUCAUACGGCAACAUGCUGGUUGGGUUCUGUCAACAUGCUACAAACCUAGACAUGUCUGGGAAGAGGGAUUUUGAGAAAAUUCAUCCAUAAGAUUUGCCUGUGGGCACAUCUGUGGGGCAUUUUCUUCAUUAAUGAUUGAUAUGGUAGGGCCCAGCUCAUGGAAGCGGGUGCCAUCCCUGCGUAGGAUGUCCUGAUUUGUAUAAGAAACCCGGCUGAGCAAGGUAGAAGGAGCAAGCCAGCUAGCAACACUCUUCCAUGACUUCUGCAUCAAUUGCUGCCUCCAGGUUCCUGCCUUGAGUUCUUGCUUUGACUUCCCUCGGUGAUGGACUUUGAUGGGAAACUUUAAGCUGAAAUAAACACUUUCUUCCCU